GGCUGGUCCCAGUACAGUGGUGUUUACAACUAAUUGAUCACAACCAGUUCCAGAUUCCUUUGUUCCUUUUCCACUCCCAGACUUCACUUGACUGGCCUUUU
rnacentral:Y_RNA from 1 species